CCUGGGAGGUCCGGCCGCUCGGGUGCGCGCUGUGCGCGGCCUCCAUUUUGGAGUCGGGCAGCUGCGACGGAGGCCGGGUCCGGCCAGGGAAAGGAAGGAGCCAGUCAGUUUGUGCUUCAAGAAGUCUGAAUUAUUCUACCUACUAGUCCACCGGAGAGUGCUCCUCCUAAGGCUACCCCAGUGACAUCAUAUGAUGGAGUGCAAGGCUCACAGUUUAGACUUUAUCUUACGUGAUGGUGAACUGCAUCCUUCUUGAAGGCUACAGUGCCAAGAAUUGUCAUACUCUGGAGAAGCAAUCAGAGUCCUCAAGCUGCCUUUCGGUCUGCUGGAACAGAAGGUGCUGACAGGGGUGGGAGUGAAGGAAGGCCUCCUUUCAGUUUACUAAUUCUGCAGCCGCCCUCCACAAACUCCAGCAAAUAUUUUGUGAUGUUGCAAGGUGUUACGAGAAGUGCAAAGCAAGCUGUGAUUCAGCUGGUAUGAAGACUUUGCAAACAAAAAAGGGUGAUCCGUUUUGCAGCAGGCUAUUACUUCUGCCAGAGUCCUCAGACUGGAAUACUAAAAGAGAGAUUUCUGCAAGACAUUGCCAUCAUACAUGCUGGAUUUUCUAAACAAGACCAAUUUAAAAUAAUUUGGCCCAGUAGGUUCCAACUUGUGGCCCUCAGACCUCCAGGCACUGCAAGGGAUCUGCAAACCCAUUAAUUUGAACUGAAAGACAAGAGGAAAGAUGCAGUUGUUGGCAGAGUGGAGCCAGAAGGGUCAUGUGGACUCAGGUGCUGGAAUAGCAACUGAUGGGCCUUGUACAAGCUAUUUUGAGGGAAAGUGCCAUGAACCCUACGGAUAAAGAAAGUUAAAGAAGAUAUCAAAGGAGCCAAAUUUUGGAGGAUGGAAAGCAGAGACACCUGGUAACAGUUGGCAGACCUGAAGAGUCAUCAUAAAGUGACAUUAAUAUAGGAAAAAAAUUUAGAAUCUUCAACAGGCCCAAGAACUGAUGGCACCUCUGGAAGUACUGUGA